rnacentral:rRNA from 1 species
AAUUUUAAGGUCAAGCUACAAAGGGCGCAUGGUGAAUGCCUUGGCACUAGGAGCCGAAGAAGGACGCGAUAAGCUGCGAUAAGCCUUGGGUAGCCGCAAAUAGGCUGAGAUCCAGGGAUUUCCGAAUGAGGAAACUCACAUGGGUAACCCCAUGUAUCAUGCACUGAAUACAUAGGUGUAUGAGGGUAAACCCGGGGAACUGAAACAUCUAAGUACCCGGAGGAAGAGAAAGAAAAAUCGAUUUCCUAAGUAGCGGCGAGCGAACGGGAAAGAGCCCAAACCAGAAACUUGUUUCUGGGGUUGCGGAUAGAUCAUAAAAGAAGAGGUAUCUUAAUCGAAGAGGGCUGGAACGCCCUACCAUAGAAGGUAAUAGUCCUGUAGAUAAAAAGAGAAAACUU